rnacentral:rRNA from 1 species
AUUGAACGCUGGCGGCAUGCUUUACACAUGCAAGUCGAACGGCAGCGCGGGCUUCGACCUGGCGGCGAGUGGCGAACGGGUGAGUAAUACAUCGGAACGUGCCCAGUAGUGGGGGAUAGCUCGGCGAAAGCCGGAUUAAUACCGCAUACGACCUGAGGGUGAAAGCGGGGGAUCUUCGGACCUCGCGCUCUUGGAGCGGCCGAUGGCCGAUUAGCUAGUUGGUGGGGUAAAGGCCUACCAAGGCGACGAUCUGUAGCUGGUCUGAGAGGACGACCAGCCACACUGGGACUGAGACACGGCCCAGACUCCUACGGGAGGCAGCAGUGGGGAAUGUUGGACAAUGGGCGAAAGCCUGAUCCAGCAAUGCCGCGUGUGUGAUGAAGGCCUUCGGGUUGUAAAGCACUUUUGGCGGGAACGAAAAGGACUGUACCAAUACCACGGUUCGAUGACGGUACCCGCAGAAUAAGCACCGGCUAACUACGUG